UGGGUUUGUCCUAAUUCAAAUUUUGUCGACUUUGAUCGAGUUUGUAGAAAAAAAUACCAACAUAUCAAACAUCAAUCAAAUGCAAUUUGAAAAUAUAUUUGAUUGUAGCCCUAAGAUACUAGUUUGGUGUUGUAUAUGUUGGUGUUUUUUACACAAACUCGGUCAAAGUUGAUAAAGUUUGACUUAGGACAAACCCAA
rnacentral:pre_miRNA from 1 species